UUGAGCUGAGGAUGAUUUCAGUUAUCCCUGUCAGAAACGACACUUCGUGAAGAGUCAUGGCUUACUGAGGCUCGA